CCUACGGGUGGCAGCAGUGAGGAAUAUUGGGCAAUGGGCGAAAGUCUGACGCAGCCACGUAGCGUGAGGGAUGACUGCCCUCUGGGUUGUAAACUUCUUUUGUAUGGGAGUAAGAUGUUCCACGUGUGGAGUUGUGUAUUUACCGUAUGUGUAAGGAUAGGCUCACUCAGUUCCGGCCGCCGCGGUAAUACGGAGGAGCCGAUCGUUAUUCGGAUUGAGUGGAUUUAAAGGGCGUGUAGGCGGGAAAGCAAGUCAAGUGUGAAACCCCAGGGCUCAACGCUGAGCCUGCAUUUGAAACUGGUGUUCUGGAGUGUUGGAGAGGCAAUUGGAAUUCCGGGUGUAGGGGUGAAAUGCGUAGAUAUACGGAGGAACAACAGUGGCGAAGGCGGAUAGCUGGACAGUAACUGACGCUGAGGAGCGAAAGCGUGGGGAGCAAACAGGAUUAGAUACCCGAGUAGUC
rnacentral:rRNA from 1 species